CUUGGUCAUUUAGAGGAAGUAAAAGUCGUAAACAAGGUUUCCGUAGGUGAAACCUGCGGAAGGAUCAUUAUCGAAAUUAUUGGUGAGGGUUGUAGCUGGCCUUUCGAGGGCAUGUGCACGCUCGAGCCCUUAAUCCCACUUUACACCUGUGCACUUAAUGUAGGUCGCCCUUAAAAAAGGUGACCUAUGUCUUAUCAUCAACCCAUCGUAUGUCUCAUAGAAUGUAAUCGAUAUCCUCGCCCUGAAAAAGCGUUGAUAAACUUAUACAACUUUCAACAAACGGAUCUCUUGGCUCUCGCAUCGAUGAAGAACGCAGCGAAAUGCGAUAAGUAAUGUGAAUUGCAGAUUUUCAGUGAAUCAUCGAAUCUUUGAACGCACCUUGCGCUCCUUGGUAUUCCGAGGAGCAUGCCUGUUUGAGUGUCAUUAAAUUCUCAACUCCAAGGGUUUCACGACCUUUCGGAGAUUGGACUUGGAGGUGCUGGCCGCAUAUUGGUCGGCUCCUCUCAAAUGCAUCAGCGGAAUUCAACCUUUGGCUUCCGGAUGUCAGUGUGAUAAUCAUGUUGCGCUGUCGUUUGAUCCCUCAGAGUCCGCUUAUAAUGGUCUUCGGACAAAAUCAUCAUCAAAUUUGACCUCAAAUCAGGUAGGACUACCCGCUGAACUUAAGCAUAUCAAGAAGCGGAGGA
rnacentral:rRNA from 1 species